UCACCAAGCCUAUAACCGGUGCGGGCCGUGAGAGCGGGAGCCCGGAGAUGGGCACUGAGACAAGGGCCCAGGUCCUACGGGGCGCAGCAGUCGCGAAACCUUUGCAAUACACGAAAGUGUGACAGGGUCAUCCCGAGUGCCGACCGCUGAGGUUGGCUUUUACCCAGUCUAGAAAGCUGGGGGAAUAAGGAGAGGGCAAGUCUGGUGUCAGCCGCCGCGGUAAUACCAGCUCUCCGAGUGGUGUGGACGUUUAUUGGGCCUAAAGCAUCCGUAGCUGGCUGAACAAGUCCCCUGUUAAACCCACCGAUUUAAUCGUUGGCGUGCGGGGGAUACUGCUCGGCUAGGGGACGAGAGAGGCAGACGGUAUUCCCGGGGUAGGGGUGAAAUCCUAUAAUCCCGAGAAGACCACCAGUGGCGAAGGCUGUCUGCUAGAACGCGCCCGACGGUGAGGGAUGAAAGCUGGGGGAGCGAACCGGAUUAGAUACCCGGGUAGUCCCAGCUGUAAACGAUGCAGACUAGGUGUUUGGACGGCCACGUGCCGUUCUAGUGCCGCAGGGAAGCUGUUAAGUCUGCCGCCUGGGGAGUACGAUCGCAAGAUUGAAACUUAAAGGAAUUGGCGGGGGAGCACAAGGGCGAAUCGCGCCGCUUUG
rnacentral:rRNA from 1 species